rnacentral:rRNA from 1 species
UUGAACGCUGGCGGCAGGCCUAACACAUGCAAGUCGAACGGUAACAGGAAGCAGCUUGCUGCUUUGCUGACGAGUGGCGGACGGGUGAGUAAUGUCUGGGAAACUGCCUGAUGGAGGGGGAUAACUACUGGAAACGGUAGCUAAUACCGCAUAAUGUCGCAAGACCAAAGAGGGGGACCUUCGGGCCUCUUGCCAUCGGAUGUGCCCAGAUGGGAUUAGCUAGUAGGUGGGGUAAAGGCUCACCUAGGCGACGAUCCCUAGCUGGUCUGAGAGGAUGACCAGCCACACUGGAACUGAGACACGGUCCAGACUCCUACGGGAGGCAGCAGUGGGGAAUAUUGCACAAUGGGCGCAAGCCUGAUGCAGCCAUGCCGCGUGUAUGAAGAAGGCCUUCGGGUUGUAAAGUACUUUCAGCGGGGAGGAAGGGAGUAAAGUUAAUACCUUUGCUCAUUGACGUUACCCGCAGAAGAAGCACCGGCUAACUCCGUG